GACGAACGCUGGCGGCGUGCUUAACACAUGCAAGUCGAACGGAAAGGCCCUGCUUUUGUGGGGUGCUCGAGUGGCGAACGGGUGAGUAACACGUGAGUAACCUGCCCUUGACUUUGGGAUAACUUCAGGAAACUGGGGCUAAUACCGGAUAGGAGCUCCUGCUGCAUGGUGGGGGUUGGAAAGUUUCGGCGGUUGGGGAUGGACUCGCGGCUUAUCAGCUUGUUGGUGGGGUAGUGGCUUACCAAGGCUUUGACGGGUAGCCGGCCUGAGAGGGUGAAAGGCCACAUUGGGACUGAGAUACGGCCCAGACUCGUACGGGAGGAAGCAGUGGGGAAUAUUGCACAAUGGGCGGAAGCCUGAUGAAGCAACGCCGCGUGCGGGAUGACGGCCUUCGGGUUGUAAACCGCUUUCGCCUGUGACGAAGCGUGAGUGACGGUAAUGGGUAAAGAAGCACCGGCUAACUACGUG
rnacentral:rRNA from 1 species